GAAGGCACGACAUUGCUCACAUUGCUUCCAGUAUGACUUGCCCGCCGAUGCGGGCUUUUUUUU
rfam:Pantoea gaviniae strain LMG 25382 Contig0097_, whole genome shotgun sequence.